UGGCUGGCUUAUUUCACUUGGCAUAAUGCCUUCAAGGUUCAUCCACAUUGUACAUUUGACAGGAUUUCCUUCUUUUUAAAGGCUGAAUAAUAUUCCAUUGACUGUAUAUACCACAUUUCCUUUAUCUAUUCAUCUGUUGAUGGACAUUUGGGAUGCUUCCAGAACCUCUUGGCUAUUGUGAAUAAUGCUGCUAUGAACAUGGGUGUACAAAUAUCUCUUUGAGAUCCCGCUUUGGUGGUAAUUCUUAUGGUAAUUCUGUUUUCAGUUAUUUGGGAAACCUGUGUACUGUUUUCCGUAAUGACUGCACCGUUUUACAUUACCACCAACAGUGCACAAGGGUUUCAACUUCUCUGCAUCCUCCCCAAUACUUGUUAUUUUUUUGUUCUUCUGAUAGUGGCCAUCAUGAUGGGCGUGAGACGAUAUCUCAUUGUGGUUUUGAUUUGCAUUUCCCUAAUAAUUGGCAAUGUUGAGCAUAUUUUCAUGUUCUUAUUGGCCAAUUGUAUAACUUCUUUGGAGAAAUGUCUGUGCAAGUCCUUUGCCCAUUUUUAAAAAUUGAGUUAUUUGGUUUUUUGUUGUUGAGUUGUAGAAGUUCCUCAUAUAUUCUGGAUUUGGGCUCCUUAUAAGAUAGACGAUUUGCAAUUAUUUUCUCUCAUUCUAGAGCUUGCGUUUUCACUUUGUUGAUUGCUUCCUUUGACACACAGACAUUUUUAAGUUUGAUGUAGUCCCGUUUCCUUCCUAACGAUCUUUAAGUGUACAGUUCAGUAGUGUUAAGUAUAUUCAUCCAACCCUAUCUUGCAGACCAGAUGACAAACAUAUUAAUGAAAGAAAUACUACCAGUCAUUGACGCAACAGAGUCUGAACAUAGGCUUAGAGGCAUUCAGAAACAUUCCAAGAUAUUUAUAAGCAAGAGCCACAGGAGCAUGAAUUCCUCAGAAUAUGUAGAAUUAUCUAGAUUUUAGCCUAUCUGACAAGUUUCUCUCCCUAUUACCAUAACAAAAGUCUUUUAAACCACUGUAUAAACUGAGAUAUUUAAGUUAAUCACCUGCCUUGCAAAGAACCUUGACUAAUGAGUAAAUAAAGUUCAGACAGUUGUAAAGGGAAGACGGGAUAGCUCUUUCACUGUAGAAAACAUUAUCAUUAUAUACUAUGUAACAGCGUGCAAAUAAUACAAAAUAAUAAUAUAAACUAUAGGCUAUUAGAUUACUAGUCCUUUGAAAAAUAUUUCUGGAAGGCCGGGCAUUUUCUUUAAAAUGUUCUGCAUAUAUUUCCUAUAUGAUCAGACCUUUAAGCAAAAUAUCUGAUCUUCGGAAAUGCAAAGGGAUUUCUGGGUAUAGGAAAAGUCUUGUUUUCUUAUAAUUACAAAAUAUAUUUUCUACAUCAUAAACUGAUAGUAAGUAAGCAUAUCAUGUCCUUGUAACAACUAAACACUGGGGCAAAUAUACUGACUGAUAAGCCCUUAUGAAAGAAUACACAUUCAUGUUAUAAAAUAAAAUACAUCUAAAACCAUGGCCAAUAUUCAGCCAGGAAGUACCAGUCUGGGCCCAUAGGCUGUUUCUGCAAGGCCUGAGUUCUGGUCAGUGUCUGUGCCUUACCACAUGUUAAAAAUUUUGAUUAUAAUCCCUAUGUAUAGUGCUAUAGAACCACUAAUGGAUAAACAUAAAAAGAUAGCUCAAAAAUGUCAGACAUAAAAAGAUAUUACAAGCUGGGCCAGGCGGCCAGCACCUGUAGCCCCAGCUACUCUAGAGGCUAAGGCAGGAGGACUGCUUGAGCCUAGGAGUUCAAGGCUGCAGUGAGCUAUCAUUUGGCCACUGCACUCUAGCCUGGGCAGCAGAGCAAGACCUAGUCUCUUAAAGAAAAAAAAAAGGCAUUACAAUUACCAACAGGUAUCUGUAAGAGAAACUUGUGUCUCUUGCUGGUACCGAAUAGCCUUCCUCAAAGACUGAUGAAGCACUCUCAUGCUAAGAAAUGCACAUCUGUAAAUAUUAUCAAAUGCAGGCACUUAGAAUAGUCUAGUUAACAAUUUAUAGUAAGCUAGUAUAUAUUAAAGCAAAAGCAAAAUACUGCCUAGAUAUGAAUGUUUUAGGGGGUUGCUUGGCUGGUGGCCGGCUUGGGUUUCGCUUGUACAUUCAGCACAUAAUCAUGCCGGAAGGAUGAACGAACAGUGCGAUUCAUCAGUGGCUGAAGGGGGCGGAAGUUGUCCACCAUUCUUUUCUCUUUCUCCCCUUCGGAAGUGAAAAGCAGGGUCCGAAAUUGCUCAAGCU
rnacentral:lncRNA from 10 species